CCCUUAGAUGUUCUGGGCCGCACGCGCGCUACACUGAUGCAUUCAACAAGCCUAGCCUUGACCGAGAGGUCCGAGUAAUCUUUGAAACUGCAUCGUGAUGGGGCUAGAUUAUUGCAAUUAUUAAUCUUCAACGAGGAAUGCCUAGUAAGCGUGAUUCAUCAAAUCGCGUUGAUUACGUCCCUGCCCUUUGUACACACCGCCCGUCGCUCCUACCGAUUGAAUGUGUUGGUGAGGAGCUCGGAUUGGCAGCAGUUGGUGGUUCGCCACCGGCUAUUGCUGAGAAGUCCUCCAAACCGCCCCAUUUAGAGGAAGGAGAAGUCGUAACA
rnacentral:rRNA from 1 species